UUGAUCCUGGCUCAGGACGAACGCUGGCGGCGUGCUUAACACAUGCAAGUCGAACGGUAAGGCCCUUCGGGGUACACGAGUGGCGAACGGGUGAGUAACACGUGGGUGAUCUGCCCUGCACUCUGGGAUAAGCCUGGGAAACUGGGUCUAAUACCGGAUAUGAGCUCCUGUCGCAUGGCGGGGGUUGGAAAGGUUUACUGGUGCAGGAUGGGCCCGCGGCCUAUCAGCUUGUUGGUGGGGUAAUGGCCUACCAAGGCGACGACGGGUAGCCGGCCUGAGAGGGCGACCGGCCACACUGGGA
rnacentral:rRNA from 1 species